AUAAAUUCGUCGGUCAUAGUUCUACAAUAUAAUAUCUAUCUUUUUGGGAUUAACCGUAGAUAUCUAAGCUGAAACCAACUAAUUCUGCCAAAAUAUAAUAAUGAUAAAUAGUUAUGUUUUGGAUUUUUAAGUGAGACCUAAAGCAUAAUAUCAUAAGUCUGCAUAAGCAGACGACAACUUAAUUCAUACCAAAAUUUGAAUCUUUCGUUGAUAGAUUUAUGUUUUGUCCUAAAUUCUUCUUUUGCAACCGUUUGAUUAUAACUCAUACUUGUUUCAGUUUUGAAUAUACCUCUUUGUCCGUUGUGUACUGUACGUAGAUAGAUUUCUAUGUCGAAAUAAAUACGAUAAAACAUUCAUAUAUUUCUAGUUUAAAUGAAGACGGACAAUUUAUAUUUUACACAAUUCCUUAGUAUUAGUGGUUAAAGAAGACGCUGUAAAUUAAUCUCUUUACAAUAGGUAUCCUCAAGAUGUAUUUUUUUUAUCAAACCGUAAUGAAUCUAAUAAUUAUUUGUACGUAAUUGACAAGCAACAAGAAAGAGAGUAUACGUUGAUUCAUUCCCUUUCAUUGCCGGAAAGCUUUGAUCCCACAAAUUUCGUGUCUCGACCAAAACGGAUCAACAUUUUCUACCCCCUUCGUGCUUUAUGUAUUUAUGUGUAUUUGUCUGAUAUUUUUCUAUAUUUAAAAUUAAUGAUGAAGUCUGAGAGAAAAUUACUAAUAUCUGGUCACAUAAGCACACGUAGUUGUCUAUUGUGUAUACGCAAAUAAUUGCGUCUAAAUCUUGCCUUAAUUCGAAAAUCAGCAUCAAGUUUGAUUUUAAUUGCAAUUUGACCCUUAAAUCAAGGUAAUGUUUGUGAAUAGUAAUCCGGGCUUUUUUUAAUGCAUAGCAUAGGCCGCAGAAAUAAUUGCCCUACUUUCAUAUUUGUCUUACGUUUGAUAUUGACGUUUAUUCUUUAAAAUUGCGCUUUUAAAGUCAAAUUUUCAUAAUUAGAAGGCUACUUGCUGCGGUUAUUCUAAACAAAUCACCGAAAAAAUUGGAACUUUCAGAAUUUUCGUUUGCCAUCAACUUGGUAGGGGGGUAAAUUAGCAAAUGUGAGACUAAAAGGGUUAAAUCAAAAACUACACUUAUAGAAGCAAAUCUAGCUACUGGACUGCUUAAAUAUAUGAAUACUUGACUGCUAAAAAUAUAUUAUAUAUAUGCGUGGUUAUAUCCGUGGAAAACCACGCAUAUGCCUAGAAUGUAGCUUUUUGAUUUCAUGUGUAAUUUUUUAUGUUUGCAUGCAUGUGAACUUCUUGCUCCAUCUUCAGUGCCAUUCUCGUAUAUAAAACCGUAAAAACAAAACUUAAAGAAAGUAAAUAAACAAAUAAAGGAAUAGAAAAAAAGAAAAAGCACAUGGCAAAGGGAGCUCCAUGUUCACGAAAACAAACAAACUGUCUAAGGCCUCUCUCGUCCUUUCAGUUCACUCACUCUCAAUCUAUAUUUAAGUAAUAUAUAUACUUACAUUGAUAUAAUACAUGAGUAUAUACACAUAUGUAUAGAAUUUGAAAAUAAUAACAUUUAAAGUAUUUCAAAAUUCCCUGACCUAAACCAAAACGAAAAAGUAUUAUUUCUGAAACAUUAUUCUUUGAUUAAUCUUAUAGGGCAUGCAUAUGCACUCCAUAUGAAAUAUUUCCAUAAGUAAAAACAUAAAUAAACUGAGUCUGCAUGCAUGCAUUUACAAUUUAACAUAUUGUUUUAUCCACCAUCUAUAUUUUUUUUUUGGUAUGACCACCAUCUAUAGUUGCUGAAAACAAGUUAAACAAACAAAGAAUCCGGAAGUCUGGCUGAUCUUUCCUUCGGAAGUGGAUGUUUUUAUUUAUUACGUGUAUAUUUUUGAGUUCUUAGUGUUUUAUCAUAUUUUUAUGUGCUUAAUGCCCGUGUGGAUGUUUUUGCAAACAUAUUGUUUCGAGCACAAAACAUUUUAUUUUCUCAUGUAAAUUAGACUAAAUUGGUAAGAAUGGAUAGUCGUAACAGUGUUACAAAAAAAAUACUCAUACACUACAAAAAGGUUAGUUUACAUCAUUUAUUUUAUAUAUUUGUAUUAGUUAUAAAUGAUCUAAAUUUUUUUGUAGUAAUUAACAUUUAAAUAAAUGACUAUGAAAGUGGUGAUGCAAAUAAUUGACAUCACUUUGUUUAAUUGAUAUAAUUUUAUAUAAUAAUAUCAGUUUCGUUAAAGUGAUGCAAAUUAGAUACAAAUUAGAAUAAAUUAUAUCAAUUUAUUGACCUGAUGCUAAAUUAGUUAAUAUUAACAUCAGUUAUUUAAAGUAAUGCUAAAUUAUUUAUUUUUGUUUCACUUAUAAAUAAACGAUUCAAAAUAGUAUCAUUUAAGUUUGUCACGCAAAUUAAAUGAUACAAUUCAUCUUUUUUUUUGUAGUGGUACGUAACAGUUUACUUAUCUGCCAAAACUUAGUUUAAACUUAUGUGUUGUCGACAUAUGUUUCUCUAUGGUCACACAUCGACAAAUGAGUACAAGUAUUUUUAUAGACUUUUUAAUACGUGUAUAGGAUAUACAUGUUCAUUAGUAUUAUACAAGAUGAGCGAUGCGAGGAAGAAGAUGAGACGGACAAGUAUGUGGAAUGGAUCGAGGCUUGUUUGUAUUCGGAAGACUGUGAUAUACGUGAGAGUUUGUGGGGGCACAUUGAGAUUCAGUGAACUGUCAUCAACUGUAUCAUGACCCUGUCCCUAAUUAAUGAUCUUCUUCUUCCUCUUCACAUGACUAGACUAACCAAAACGCUGCUCGGCAAGAUUUAAUUAUAACUUCGUCUUCUUCUGUACGUACUCGUCAUUUUUAUUAACUUCUCUUUGUAUUAUAAUCAUAAGUCAAAAGACUCAAAACCCUUGCUGGAUCUAUGAAAUUUCGACGAUUGGGAUGGUUUGAAAUUAUUGUAAAUAUUAGUUUAGCAUAUUUGAUUCUCAUCUACGUAAAGGAAAUAUUUAACUUCUAGAUGUUAAAACUAGAGAGAGGAUAAAGUAACUGAUAGUACUGGACUACUGGUACUCACUGCCAGCUAAUAACGAGUGCACUUUGAUUACCAGCUAAUGAAUCUAUAGUUGAACCGGAUUUCAACUUCUCUCUUAAUCUAAGUAGUUUGGUCUUAUUUUAUUUUAAGAUAAUUCUUAAUUUAGCAUUUGGAGCAUAACAAGAAAAAGGAAGGUUAAACAUAAACAAAGAUUGACCUGAUUCGGUUCUCAAGGUGAAUGUAUGACAAAGAGAAGGGGCCAAGACCACGUGAAUUCUCCAAGCAUUAUCAUACGUGUCUCUUUUUAAAGCAUCCACGUGUCCAUGUUACCAUCGCUAGGCGACCCAGGCAUCUUUUCCGUAUGCUCCAAAAAUAAAAAUAUGAAAGAAAAUAGUUGUUCCUAAAAACAAAAUUUAACAAUUAUACUUACUGACAAAAUGUGAUUUGUUAUUAAUUUGGAAAAGCUUAUGGACUACAGUUUAUUUUAAUAAUGAUAAUACAUGGUGUGUCAUAUAGAGAAUAAGCUUAAAUCAGGGGAUGCUGUGCAGAUGCAGAUUUUGAUGCAGAAAAUGUUUUUUUUUUCAUGUUCACAUGGUUUAUUUUAAUUUUGGGGAACAGUUAUUUUGACUUUCGCAAGAAAGCAUAUUAUUGUCUAAUUAAGGACAAUUCCUCGAUUCAUUUUAUAAUCAUACCAGGUCGAUUUAAUACCAUUUUAGUUUAGAAGACCACAGUUAUGUCUUUUUUCUUUAUAGUGAAUACCGUAUAUAUUAAAUAUACCGAAAAGAAUUUUCAAAUGAUUUAGGAAUUUUCCUAGCAGCUAUAAAAUAUAUAUAUCAAUGCGCCAAUGUCCAAUUAUUUGACCUGAUUGAGAUUUGAGAAUCUGUAGCUAAAAAAUGUAUAGUUGAUUGAAAAUCUAUAUUUUUCUCAAAACUGAAUAAUAAUUUAUUUUUAUCGUACGUAGGGAGAUUUUGUUUGCAUUGCAUGAAAUCGGUGGACAGCCCAUAGUUUAUCAAUAUUCUCUCAUCAAAACCGCUUUUCACUUUUCGUUGUUCACUCCUUUUUUAUUAUACACUUGGAAAGGACAUUUUUCUUUCUUCGGGCCCGUUUGUGGACGCCUAAGUUAUAUACUUGAAUUCUUUAAUUAUACAAUUUAGGUUAAGCACGUUAACAAAUAAAACAUUUAGGGUAAAGGGAUGACUAAGGGCAUCUCUAACCCUACUCCAUUUUUUACUUCAAACUUAAUUAUGAAGUAAAAUCUUCUCUAACCUACUCCAUAUUCAACUCCAAAAUGGAGUAAUAGUUAGGGUUACUCCAUUUAUAGAAUAAUCUUACCCAUUACUCUAUUUUGGAGUUGAACUUUUUCUAUUUAUGAAAUGGUCCUUCUAAUUUUUAAUUUUUUAUUUCAUACAUAAAAUAAUAUAAUAGCAUAAAAAAAUAUAAUAUUCUGCAAAAGAUUAUUUAAUAGUUUACAUAAAAUAUGCAUAAACUCAUAAAAGUCAAAACUAAGAAUAAAUAAUAUAAUAUAAAUAAGUAAUUUAAUAAUUAAUUUGGUAAAUUGUUUUUGAAACUACCAAAAUCGGUGAAGUAUUAUUCAUACGGAACCGAUGAGUUUUUUUAAUCUUGUAGGUCAAAAUUUUGAUUGAUAACAUUUGUACUUGUUGAACUUGAUAUAUGCACAAACAAUAGGACCCAAUACAUAAUUCAAAUAACAAAACAAAACUUUGUUUUUUCUUUAUGUUCUUUUAAUGCAUAUAAAUAUUUUUGAAUUUGAAAAAUUGCAUAUGAUAAAAACUGCAUGAAUUGUAAUUGAAAGAUAAUCUCUAGUUAUAUUUUUAAUGAUAAAUACUUAAUUAAAUAAAAUAUAUUAUUAUGGAAAUUUUGUAAAAAUAAAAAAGUUGUGUUAAUUGUUAAAUUUUUAUAAGUUGAAGGUACUACUAAUAAUUAUUAAUUAAAUGAAAAAAAAAAUAUUUUUUUGGAGUAAAAAAUAGAGUAAUAUAUUGGAGUAAAACCCAACUCUAUUUUGGAGUUAUACUAUUUUGGAGUAAACUUUAGAGUAAUACAAGAGGAAUACACUUUGGAAAAACCGAGAAAUGUUUAUCUAACGAUGUUAAGACCCAUGCCUCUUAGAUUUGGUUUACACUACAUAUGUGCAAAUUGCUAGUCGAACUAUUGGAGAAACUGAAGACCCCAGCUAGAUUACCCGUACGAUUAAAAAUAUAAAAUAAAUUAUGAAUCAAAUUACAUCAUUUAUCUUUCCCAACGACUAUUCUAAAACAUGAGUUCAUGGGCUGUACUGUAUCUCACCAGAAAUGUAAUGGAGAAACAACCAACAUCUCAGUUUUCCUUCGAAGAGAUGAGAAUACUUCUCUCUCAAGCGAAGCGAGCAUUAUCAAAGACGGUUUUCAGCCGUUUUCAAAUCCCAUUGUUGGAUACUUCAAUAACGGUAUCAACCUGAUAUUUUUAUUCUUUCAAAUCGUGGGUUUAAGAUUUCAAGUGAAGUUUUUAUACAAGUCUAUUCUCUCUUUUACCACCUAUCUUUCGUCUUAUUUUAAGGUCAUCUUUGGUUAUAAUCGUUUAAGCUCUUUACUUUAAUAUACGUAUUUGGUAUUCACGAAAAAAGAAUCAAAUUAAAAAUUCAGCUGGAAAUUAAUUGUGUAUGCUGAAAGCCACAAAUUUAUCUUUAAAAUUGCUUUUAGUUCAUUAUUAUUUUGCAUCGACAAUAAUAUUUUAAAACCAAAACUGCACAAACUCAUCUCUAUUUUAUAGAAAAUGGAAAUUGCUAUUUUUCUUCUAUAUAGGGAAGAAAUAACAAUCUAUAUUUUUAUCUAUAUUUAUUAUAGAAAAUUUUCAUCUCUAUUUUAGAAAAUACACUGGAAAUGACUAAAUCACAAAUUCAAAAAUAAUAUCUGAAUGUAUCUAGUUUACUAGAUGACUUCCCGCGAUCACAGAAUAAAAAGAUAAACGACCUAUUUCCACACCAAAAAUAUCAUAUAGUAAUAAUUUCACACAAUUUUUCAAUCUCGACCUAGUUCCACAUAUUAGAAGUACUAAAACUUAUUUCUCCCCAGUCAGAAAGAUCGAAACUCAUAUCCCUAUAAAUGAAUGUUUGACUUGGUUUAAAUGGUUUGAACGUAAACCAAUACCAAGUUAGUAUGUUUUGGACCGAAUUUAAAACCCGAGCCAACAUGAGAUCCAAAUACAAACCUGACCUAAUUCUCAAUCAGACUUUGGUAAAUUUUUAAAAUCAGAUCGUAUCGAUUCAAUUAGGUUAGCCAUUGGUUAAGUUUCAAAUUUUUGAAUAGUAAACCGAUCUAAAUCAGAUUGUGUGGAUUUUAGUUCCUACUUAAUAUAUUAUGGAGAUACGGGUUUUGAUCUUUUGGAUUGGGGAGAAAUAUGUUUUAAUACUUUUAAUAUGUUGAAUUAGGCCGAGGUUGAAAAAUCGUAUAGAACUGUGUUAUUAUAUGAUACUUCGGGUGUGGAAAUAGGUCAUUUAUCUCAGAUAAAAUCAUUUAAAUACACUUGCGGUAAAUAAGUUUUAGACAAUUAUCUCAAAUAGCUAUUUUUAAGAUUUUGUCACAAAAUAACUUUCAAUAAGAAAAGUGAUCAAAAUAGCUCCUUUUUAUUUUGAAAAUUUUAAUUUUUAAUUUUUUAAAAUUUGAAAUCAAUCCUCAAAAUUCCACCCCAUAACUCUAACCCCUAAGUAUAUAUAGAUUAUUUAACCCUAGGGUAUAAAUGUAUUUUUACUCUUUAAUAAGAUCUUCUUUUGGUCGUUUUUUUCAUCGAGAAAUAUUUUGUGACAAAAGUUUAAAAAGAUUAUCCUAGAGAAUUUCUCUUAUAAUUUUUACUUCUUUCAUAAUUGUGAGAUGAAAAAUUUCUUAGGAUAACUUUUUUAGGUUUUUAUCACAACAAUAGUCCUCAAUGAGAAAAAUGACUAAAAGAAGUUUUAUUAAAGAGUAAAAAUACAUUUAUACCCAAUGGUUAACUAAUCUAUACUUAGGAUUUAGAGUUAAGGGAUGAGGUUUUUAGGAUAGGUUUUCAGAUUUAAAAAAAUAAAAAAAUUAAAAUUUUCAAAAUAAAAGAGGUAUUUUGGUCAUUAUCCUUAUUGAAAACUAUUUUUGUGACAAAAACUAAAAAAUGACUAUUUGAAAGAAUUGCACAAAUUAUAAAAAGAAACUACCAUAUGAGUUUUUGUGUCUACCACUAAAGAGAAAUUUAAUGUUUACCACUAAAGAGACAUUUUCAAAAAUACAUUCUUCAUUAAGUGGCAAAAAACUAUUAUACUUUUGUCCUUUAUAUAUACAAUAAAUAAAUAUUUAAAUAAAUAAAAAAUAGAUAAAAAUAAAAAAUAAUUUUUUUAUUUUAUUUGAAUUAUACUAUUUCGAAAUUCUAACCCUAAACCCAAAAACUCAACUCUAAACCCUAAAUCCUAUAUUUGUUUUUGAAAUACGAACCCUAAACCCUAUAUUUGUUUUUGAAAUACAAACCCCAAACCAUCAAUCUUAAACCCUAUACUUUUUUUUGAAAUACGAACCCUAAACCCUGAAACAUCAACUCUAAACCCUAAAUCCUGAAACAUCAACUCUAAACCCUAAACAUUCAACUUUAAACCCUAAAACAUCAACUCUAAACCCUAAACAUUCAACUUUAAACCCUAAAACAUCAACUCUAAACCCUAAACCCUAAACUUCAAUUCUAAAUCCUAAACCAUCAACACUAAACCUUAAAAUAUCAACACUAAACCCUAAACCCCAAAAAAUUAACCCUAAAACAUCAACUCUAAACCCAACACCCUAAAACCCUAGAGUUGAUUUGAUGUUUAGGGUUUAGAUUUGAAGGUUUAGGUUUUUGGGGUUUAGGGUUUAUGUUUAGGGUUUAGAGUUGAUGUUUUAGGGUUUAGAUUUAAAGGUUUAGGGUUUGGAGUUGAUGUUUCGGGGCUUAGGGUUUAGAGUUGAUGUUUCAUGGUUUAGAGUUGAUGUUUUAAAUUUAGAUUUGUUAACCAUAUGUUUUUUUGUCAAAGUUAAUCCAAGGGUUAUAAAUGUCUUUUACCCUUCGUUAAAGAUGAGGGUAAAAGUGGUUAGUGUAAACAUGAAAGUGAUACUUUGAAAAUUGUAUUUUUUAGCAAUUUCCUUAGUAUUUAUUAUUUAUAUAUGACAGAAUUUUCACUAAUUAAAAUCUCUUACAUUACAUAUGACAAAUAAGAAUUGGUCCUAACUCAUCAAAAUCAGAUUAAAUAUAAUUCUAAUUAAAUUUUAAAAAUUUAUUUUUUAUAUUAAUAAAUUAUUGAUUCAGAUAAAAACUAAUAAAAACAUGACAAAUAAGUAAAAAUUACUUAAAAUUAUGGAAAACAUAACAAAUCAGCAAAAUCACAUAUUUAAAUUAAGGAGAAAUUUUAAUUCAACCACAAGUUUGAUACCACUUUUCAAAUUUACCAUUAAUGAAUGACUAUUUUCUCCAAUAUCCUAAAUUUGUGAUAAAAUAACAUUAAGUUAAUUUUUAAAAUAUUUAUAGAACAUUUAUAAUUACAACCCCAACCCGUUAAUAAUAAACCCUUAACAAUAAUCACUAAAGCAUAACCCAAAAUGUUAUUAUUUUUUUUUGAUUGAUGAUAUUUUUGAAAAUUUGUACUUAACUUGUGGUAUUUCUUAUAAUUUCUGUUAAAUUAGUCAGAAAAAACUUAUUAAAUUAAUAAAUCAGCAAAAUAACUGAUUUAAAUUAAUGACUGAGAUAAAAAUUAAUAAAAAAAAUGAAAAUAAGCAAAAGAAAAAUUGCCAAAAAUACCACAUUCCUAAUACCACUUUCAUGUUUACCUUAACCACUUUUACAUUCACUUUUAAGAUGUAAAAAGACACUUAUAACCCUAGCGUAUAAUAAUCUAGACUUAUGGUUUAGAGUUGAGAGUGAGAUAGGGUUUUGAAAAUUGGAGUUCGAGAUUCUAAUAAAUAUAUAAUAACUACUUUAAUUUUAAAAAAAAUUCUUUAAAAAAGUUUCAAUUUUUUUCGAACUUCAAAAAUAAAAUUUGAAAAAAGCGAAAAAGAAAAAUUCGAAAAAAAUUCAAAAAGUAUAAAAAGUUCGAAUUGGAAAACGUAUAAUUCCAAAAAUAUAUAUUUAUAAAAUAAUAAUGUAAUAUAUAUAUAAAACAAUAGUAUAAGCGUCUUUUGUCACUUAAUGAAGAAAGUAUUUGUGAAAAUGUUUAUUUAGUGAAGGUAAACAUGAAUAAUGGUAUCCACAAUGUAGUAAACAUGAAAAUUCUCCUAAAAAAAUAUCUAAAAUCAUGGAAAACAUGACAAACCAGCAAAACUACUUUUCAAAUUUUUUUUUGUGUCAUCAGCUUAUACAGACUCUGUGAACCAAACUGGAUGAUCUGCAUCUAUGUGAACGACGAAAGACAGUUGCACCCUAAUACUGCGUGCUAGACUAUCCGCCUUUGAAGUUUGCGUCCUUGGUACAUAGAUGAUCUAUGAUCGGAGGAAACUUUCUUUCAGGGUCUUGAUAUCUUCUAAAUAAUUUGCAAAAGCUGACCAUUUUUCUGGUUUCGAAACCAUCUUCACCAAUUGAGAACAAUCUGUUGCAAUCGUAACCUGAAAUUGCCGUAAACUCCUCAUGCAUUCCAUUGUCCAUAAUAGCGCUUCCAUCUCCGCAUGAAGAGGAGAGAGGCUAGCCCGAACAUUUCUCGCCCCUAACAGUUCAUCAAAUCCUUAUAGAGUAUUGAGGCAACCUUGUCCGGAAAAGAUAUCACCCUCUUUCCAGGAACUAUCUGUUUAACACCAUCUUCUUGGAAUUGGCGGCAGAGUCGUAACCGCAACUUGUGGUAUUAUCCUCUGUUCGUUCAAUAUAUGUGCCUCAGCCCAAAGUGUGAAUUUUGUUUUCGCCCAUUUAAGCGUAUCCAUAGGAUCAAUGUCCAGAUUACUGAAAACUUUUGAUGACAUGUAAACUUUCUGAUGCAUAAAUUGUAGUAUAGUUUUCAAUAAAAAUAAAUAUAAACAUAAGAUAGUAAAUUAUUAUUAAUAACAAAAAACAUAACCUAUUUUAAAUAAAUAAUAAUUUUUUUAUUUAUUCUUAAUAUGUAUAAAAUAAAUUUUAACAAAAAUUAAGUUGAAAUAUAUAUUUUAUAAAAACCAUACUUACUGAUUAUAAUAUUUAUCCGAUAUCAAUAACAAAAUAAUUUAUAAAUUUCCAUUCCAAAUAAAAUUUACAACUAAUAAGAUUAUGUAAAAUAAUAAUUAUAAAAUAAUAAUUUAAAGUUAAUAAUACAAAAAUAAGAACAAGAAAGAGAACUAAAAAUAGGAAAUUUCCAUGUUUACGACAUUGUUGUUAUCAUUAUUCAUGUUUACCACCACUAAAAAGACAUUUUCAAAAAUAUUUUAUUCAUUAAGAGGCAAAAGACUUCAUAUCAUUGCUCUAUAUAUAUAAAAUAAACAAUUAUUUAAAUAAAAAAGUAAAAUAUUUUUAAAAAUAUUUUUGAAUUAUAAUUUUCCAAAUUCUUACUUUUUAUUAAAAAAAUUUAAAAGUUUGAAUUUUGUUUUUUCAAGUUUUCUUUGUGAAAUUCGAAUGUCAUUUUUGAAAUUAUUUUUAAAAAUUUUUAGUAUUAAUUUAUAUAUUUAUUAGAAUCUUAAACUCCAUAUUUCGAAAACUCUAUCCCACCUUUCAACUCUAAAUCUUCUGUCUAGAUUUUUUUUUUUUGACGCUGGAUUCAAUCAAUGGUGUAAAGAGUAGUAAUACAACGUCCCCCCAAAAGCAACACACACCUCCAAACAGAGGAUUGAGGAGAAAAUAAAAGGAAAGAAGAUAAGAAUAAGAAAAACACCAGUAGGUGCUGUAAAUAAUAACCAAGACCACGAUCAGUUAAAGGAGCAAGGGCCCACCGCAGCUAAGUUCCAACGAUUUUACACACGAACCACCAAAUUCAACUCCUCCUCUCGUAAUAGGGAACUCAGCCAUGUUGGACCACCUGUAGCUACGUAAGAUUGGUAGCGAUGAUCUCUUGUCACACUUAGUGCAAUAGAAUUGGCGAUCCUGUUUCUGCUAGCAACUACAUGUUCCAAACUCACUCCAUCAAAUUCAUUCAAUAAGACACUAAUGGUAUCAAUCAGAUGUCGCCAUUCCGGGUACUCAUGGGGUUUGAGAAGCGCCUCUCGAACUUGAGUGAGUGAGGACUCAAUGAUUACCCAUUUGAUUGUUAAGUCAAUAAGCGCGCGAAUACUCCACAAAAGAGACUGGAGUUCUGCUUCUAUAUUCGAAGUGUGACCAAAGAAUGCUCGUCUACUAUGUGAUAGAGGGAUACCACCAGCGUCUCGCACGAUCCAUGCUGCACCGCCCAUACGAUUAUGAGAUCCCCAAGAAGCACUUACAUUGCAUUUCAGCCAGUUCCUCGGUGGUCUACACCAGCGCAAGGGAAGCACCGAAGAAGGUUCAGCUGGGUGAUUAGGUGGAGCUUGUGUCGAAUUCAAGCCUCGCGAAGUUUCUGCUUCUUCAAAGGCCUUAUCAAAAACCAGAGAAGGGUCCAUACGGUAAUGUUCAUAGCAGAAACUGUUCCUGGCAUAUUAUUGUAAAUGUUUUUUUUUUCUUUUUCAAAAGUGAUGAUAAAAGUGGUUAAGGUAAAAAUGAAAAGUAGUAUUAUAAAUGUGGUAUUUUUGGAAAUUUUCCAUUAAAAAUCUGUGUCUAACACAAAAUCAGGUGAAAUUGCAUAUUAUUGUUAAAUAGAUUUCCAGAAAUAAGAAUAAGAUAUUGCUAAGGUGGUUUUGGAAAUAUAAAUAAUAUUUUAUUUACAAACAAAAAAUUCCAAAACGUAUAAUAUAAAGCUUUUCAUACGUGGUGUGUUUCGAAUUUAUUAUUUUCACUUGUACUUUAGACAUAAACUUUAGUUAUAAUUGUACUUCAACUCUAAAACAUGGGAUUAGUCAUGAUGUUACAUUAAGUUUUGAUUUAACAAUUUUACAAAGAGCGUAAUUCAAAAUUGUACCCUUGCCAAAAUACAUGAUAUCUCAAACUUAAAAAAAAAAUUAAUGCAUGAUUGGUGAUAAUUUUGAGUUAUCUAUGAGUUCAACCAUUAACUCAAACUAAAUCAAUCAAAGAAUAGCAUAUACAUAAAGGUAUAUGUACGACAAACCCAUUUUCAUCCAUUCCAAAACCUGCAUUUUAUACAAUCACUAAUAUAAAAUAACUAAUAAGAAAAGUAAGCUGAUAACCGUUUAAAAUAUUUUCAUCGUUUUGUUACCAAUGUCGUUAACAUACAUCCAGUAGAUAUAUUGUAACUGGACUGGACUGCGUAUGAGUAAGAAAGCAGUUAAAUGGCAACGUCAUAUUCUCGAUCCGUUCCACAUAUAUGUGUACGUUAAAGUAAGAGCUCACGAAUAGUCAGCAUGUCACACUCAUUAUAUUUUUAUUCGUCGAUAUGCCUUUGCAAUCAUGCUAUGUAUUAUGGCAUUUUAUUAACGGCAUUUAAUUGGUCCAUAUAACUUUUCACUAUCAUAACUUUAAAUUUGAGCAUAGACUCACAUAUACACACGUCUCGGGUCCCCCGGUUUUAUCUCGUCGACUCUCCCCUAUUACCUAUACUGAUGUCGUCAUGAUAUUUAUACUCACAUAUUUCUUUGUGCGAACUAAAUUUAUACAUUUUGCACUUUACGUGAAAAGAAGGGCAAAAGAUCAUUCCCGUUUAUUCUGAAUUUACGAGUCGCAACUUAAAAUAAUACUCCACAAAGCAGUAUAUCAAACCGGCGGCGGGUUGUUUAUCUUAAACAAAGAAAUAUGUCCUAGGCACUCCAAUGGAACACCAAAUUUGGUAUAAUCUCAUUUUCAAAGAGACACUAAAAAUUAUACAAUUCCAUUAAAUUUAGUGUAGAGUAAAUAGUAUUACACAUAAUUUAGUGUAUGUGUAACACUAUUCAUCACACCAAAUAUUUAAUAUUCAUAUUCUAUUGUGUUUAUUUAAUAAUAUAGGUCAUUAUCAUUAUUAAUUAGUAAUAAACAUAAUUAGAAUAUAUAAUUUGUUUAAAAAAAAUAUUUUUAAAAAUUAAAAUAGAUUUAUUUUAUUUUAAAGUAAAAAAAUCACUAAAUUAUACUUUAUAAAAUAUAGAAGUUAAUAAUUAUAUGAUUAAAAUGCAUAUUAAAUUUGAAAUAAACACUCAAAACAUAAAAUAAAUAUAUUAGUUUGUUAUGUGUUGUUCAUAAUUAAUAGUUAGUAAUUUUAAUAUAAUAUUUUAUAUAAAAUAAAUACAUAAAAAGUAUAAUAUUGUUAAAUCCAAAAAUAUAAAUGUAAAUAAAUUUUAUAAACAUAAAAUUACAAAAAUUUAACAAACAUAAUAAAGUAUGGUAAAAUAAUUAUUUAUCAAUUACAAAUAACAAAAAAAUAAAAAUUAUUAAAACUGAAAACAUCAAAUAAUAUAUAAUAUUACUUUUGGUCUGAUAUUUGGUGUCAUGGUUGGAGAUGACAAAAAAAAUUAUGACACUUAAACCUAAAUUUGGUGUCAUGGUUAGAGAUGUCCUUAUAGAUACGGAUCUAUGUGGACAAAUGGAGUGUCAGGUGACACAUGUUAGAAUUAUAUAAAGAAGUUUUUACCAUGUAACACUUAAGAUUCUAUAAAACAUUUGGUUACUUACCCCAUCUAUUAACCCCCCCAUAAUUCAAGCUCGACACUAAGGUAGUGCACUUUUUCAUUGUUUUUCUAAAUUAUUGUUAUAUUGGGUCAAAUACCCACAUUCUCUGACCCGCUUAAAGAUGAUUCUGAGUCUGCCAUUGUGCCCUUAGCAUAUAAUUUUUAGCUAAUUUAAUUAGAUGCUCCAUAAAAAUCUUAAAUGGUUCAGUGAUCAGGUAUAUAUAUGAAAAAAUUACAAAGGUAUAUCAUGAAUGAAAAUAUUUUGUUGGUUUCGACCUACUGAUUGAUCAUACGAUUGUUGUUUUUAUAUCAAAAGUUGUUAGUUGCAGCUCCACACAACAAGCGCGUGUUUGUCAUAAUUAGAAGCCUACAUUUUUGUAUCCUUCUUAGGAACUAUGAAAAAUAUAUUUGAUCAGCGAAAAUCAAUAUUCAAGGAAAUCUUGGAUAUCAAACAUAUAUAUAUAAAUAUAAAUGUAGAUAGUGCCUAAUAACUUAACUGGGAAUGAAUAUGAUUUUAAGUGGUAUAACAUAAAAUAAAUAUGCUAUUAGUAUUACUAAUAAAAUAGCAUGAUAUGUAUAAACAUUAAAACUAACGAUUUACAUUUUAUAGUUUUGAGGAUAACAAAUCAUUUUAGUCAUUAAAGAAAAAAAAAUACUUCGACUUGUUUAAAACAUAUUAAAAAGUUGUUUCUUAAAGCUGAGAUACUAGUUGUUUAACUAUUCGAAAACCAAUCUAUACUAUUAUUUGAGAAGUGAAUUUGCUGAUUUGUCAUCGUAUCCAUAAUUUUAGGCAAUUUUACUUAUUUAUCAUGUUUUUAUUAGGGUUUAGCUAAAACAUUAUUAGUUAGGGUUUAGCUAAAUCAUUAAUUUAUUAUUAGUUUUUAGUUGAGUUACUAAUUUAUUACUUUAAAAAAUACCCUUAUUGAAUCUUAUAUAUAAUUUAAACGAAUUUUAUUUUUAUUUUAUUAAUUUAUAUGUUAUAUUAAAUAUUUAGUUAAUUUUUAUUUUUUUGUCAUAUUUUUAUUAGGUUUUAUACUUUUGGUUGGGUUAUUAAUUUAUUAUUAGUUUCUAACUUAUUCACUAAUUUAUUUACUUAAACAAUACCCCUAAUGAGUUUUAUAUAUAAUUGAAAACGACUUUUAUUUAAUAAUAUUAAAUUUAUAUGUUAUAUUAAAUAAUUUAUUAUAAAAUAAUAUAAUUAUCAAAAAACAUAUUAAAAAUAAGAUAAGUUUUAUAUAUGUUUUUAUUAGGGUUUAGGUAAAUCAUUAAUUUAUUAUUAGUUUUUAAUUGAGUUACUAAUUUAUUACUUAAAAAAUACCCUUAUUAAAUCUUAUAUAUAAUUUAAACGAAUAUUAUUUUAAUUAUAUUAAUUUAUAUGUUAUAUUAAAUAUUUAGUUAAUUUUUCUUUUUUUUGUCAUAUUAUUAUUAGGUUUUAUACUUUUGGUUGGGUUAUUGAUUUAUCAUUAAUUUCUAACUUAUUCACUAAUUUAUUAACUUAAACAAUACCCUUAAUGAGUUUUAUAUAUAAUUGAAAACGAUUUUUAUUUAAUAAUAUUAAAUUUAUAUGUUAUAUUAAAUAUUUUAUUAUAAAAUAAUAUUAGAUGAAGUUCAGGAGGGUUAUUAAUUUAAUAAAAAAAUAUUGGUAACCCUCCUAUAAAAAAUUAUUUAAGGGUAUUGUUUUAUAAACCUCUUGGAUAAUACUUGAAACCGGUAACAAUUUAAAUAACGUUUUUGUUUCAUAAUGUAAAGAAACACAUACAUAAGAAGAACUUUUUAAAUCCACGGUUAUAAUAAACCCAAAGCUCCAGUUAAAAGAAAUAAACCCAAAGCUAUCCGCUAAUUACAUUGUAGAAUCGAGUUUUCGAGAAAUCAAUCAGUCAAAAGUUUUUGAAUCUUUAUUUUUAUUUGAGGAGACAUCAAAAAUCAAAUUCGACACGAUACCUACUGUACAUUUACUUGGGAGCAAUGGAACGACUUAACAAAAACAAUGGAACGAACAUAAAAAAUAAAAAAAGAGUGGGCCAAUUCAAUUAUUACAACAUAGAAGGAGAGCUUUAUGAGAACACGAGCCAGAUUCAGUUAAUCAUGUCUAUUUUUGGAUAUAUUGUUAAUUUAAUUUUGUUUUUCACUAUAGGCUUUGUACGAAUCAUCCAUCAAAGAGUCACAUCUCAUCUUACAUUCACAUGUCCAAAACUAUUUAUUUCACGCUACAAAUCAAGUUAACAAUUAAUUCGUAUCUUCUAAAUUCUUCCACAUCUCUAAUGACAGCUUGCCACAGUAGUUUUUUAUUGCCUAAGUCAAUGCAUAAUAGUAUAAACUGGAACCACUAAUGUUAUUUGUUUGCUCGUGUAUGCUUAGUAGUUAUUACUAUUAGAUAUUUUAAAAUAAACAUACUCUAUAAUCUCUACCCUGAAGUAGUCGAGUAGGAGAGAUUGGAGCAGUUUGUACACCAAAUGGGAGAGAGGGCAAUUAUUCGGGCCUCCACUCAAGUGGGCAAAGGGAGCACUUGUUUGGGCCUCUAAUAGUAAGAAACUAUAUUUAAUCGGCUAUUACAUUAAAACCCAUUGGUUGGUAGCCCGUUUAUAAUGAUUUCCGAUAUAUACGGCUAGGAAGCGUCAGUAGCCCAGUUAUCAUGUAAAUGAAAGAAUCCGCAAAUCAACCGGUUUUGGUUCAUGAUCCUAAUUGGUCGGUUAGUUCAGUUGAUCUACUCCUAAUAAUUGGUUCAAAGAGCAAACAUAUAACUGUUAAGAUAAUUCAAUUUAUUAGCGGCUAAACUGCAAUUUACUUUUUGUUUUGUCUGAAUCGUUCGAAAUAUACUAUUAAGUCGUUUGGAAAUUUCGAUUUACAUGGAAAUUUCGGUAAAAUUUGAAGAAUAUUUCCUUAGAGCAUCUCCAAUAGUUGACUUCAUUUUUAUCUUCAAAAGUUUACUUUCUUCAAAAUGAAAAAAAAUGAAACAACAUUCACUCUAAUGGUUUACUUCAUUUCUUUCUAAUAAAAAGAAUAUUCCAAUUAUAUUUCAUCUCCACUUUAUCAUUAAUUAUUAAUAGACACCUUAUACUUUUUUAUUUACUUAUUUUACCUAACUAUUUUUUUUAACAAUAAUCCAAUAUAAUUAUUAUUUCAUAUAAAUUUAAUAUUCUCAUAUAAUGAAUUUAUUACAUAACAUGAAUAAACAAACAUAAAACAUCAUAAUUUGUAUAAAAACACCACAUAUUUUUUUUUCUACAAUUGAUUAACAAAAGUGUUUAGAAUAAUAAAUGAGCUUAUUUAUCUUUGAUUCUUUUAAAUCGAGUUAAAAAGUUCUUAAAAACAAAUAUUCAUAUGCUUUUUGAUAUAAACAUCUGAUUAGAUAAAAAUAAUAGUCAAAAUUUUGAAAUUAAUUGGAUUAUAUUAAAGCAUAUAGUUUAUUUUGGCAAAAGAUAAGAAUAAAUAAAAGUUAAGAACCAAUUUACAAUGAAAAAAUU